rnacentral:misc_RNA from 1 species
GAUGAAGAACGUAGCGAAAUGCGAUAAGUAAUGUGAAUUGCAGAAUUCAGUGAAUCAUCGAAUCUUUGAACGCACAUUGCGCCCGCCAGCACUCUGGCGGGCAUGCCUGUUCGAGCGUCAUUUCAACCAUCAAGCCCCCAGGGGCUUGUGCUGGGGCCCUGCGGCUGCCCGCAGGCCCUGAAAACCAGUGGCGGGCUCGCUAGUCACACCGAGCGCAGUAGCACAUCUCGCUCAGGGCGUGCGGCGGGCUCCUGCCGUGAAACCCCCCACUGUAACCCCAAAGGUUGAUCUCGGAUCAGGUAGGAAUACCCGCUGAACUUAAGCAUAUCAAUAAGCGGAGGA